GAUGAACGCUGUCUACAGGCUUAACACAUGCAAGUCGAGGGGAAACGACGGGGAAGCUUGCUUCCCCGGGCGUCGACCGGCGCACGGGUGAGUAACGCGUAUCCAACCUGCCUCUGACUGAGGGAUAACCCGUCGAAAGUCGGCCUAAUACCCCAUCGCAUCGUCUGCGGGCAUCCAACGACGAUUAAAGAUUUCAUCGGUCAGGGAUGGGGAUGCGUCUGAUUAGCUUGUUGGCGGGGUAACGGCCCACCAAGGCUACGAUCAGUAGGGGUUCUGAGAGGAAGGUCCCCCACAUUGGAGCUGAGGCACGGUCCAAACUCCUACGGGAGGGAGCAGUGAGGAAGAUUGGUCAAUGGGCGGGAGCCUGAACCAGCCGAGUAGCGUGCAGGAUGACGGCCCUAUGGGUUGUAAACUGCUUUGAUGCGGGGAUAAAGUGAGGGACGUGUCCUUCAUUGCAGGUACCGCAUGAAUAAGGACCGGCUAAUUCCGUG
rnacentral:rRNA from 1 species